rnacentral:rRNA from 1 species
GCCACAUCAUGUUGAAAUACUGGUUCCCAUAUGAUCACCAAAGUUAAGCAAUGUCAAGUCUGGUCAGUACCUAGAUGGGUAACAGUUUGGGAAUACCAAGUACUGUA